AACGUAGGACACAAGCGUUAUCCGGAGUUACUGGGCGUAAAGGGCGUGUAGGCGGGUCAAUAAGUCUAUUCUGAAAGCUCCUGGCUAAACUGGGAGAGGCGAAUGGAGACUGUUGGUCUAGAGUGAGGAAGAGGAAAGUGGAAUUCCGCGUGUAGUGGUGAAAUGCGCAGAUAUCGGGAAGAACACCCGUGGCGAAGGCGGCUCUCUGGGACGGUACUGACGCUGAGACGCGAAAGCGUGGGGAGCGAACAGG
rnacentral:rRNA from 1 species